rnacentral:tRNA from 2 species
UAGAAGGUAGUAUAGAGUUGGGAGUACAAAAGAUUUUGGAUUUUUUAUUGUGGGUUCGAGUCCCAUCCUUCUAG